UCUCCUGGCUUCUUUUCAUUCUUGUAUUCCCUCUGGUUUCCUUUUGUCUUCUUUUCUCCUCAGUUACAGAAGAUCUUCAGCUCUCCACAGCUUGCUGUCAUGAGGGGACAGCAAACCGCAACUGGUUCUUACAUGGGGCUCCUCAUGUGCGGACUGCUCCUAUCAUCUUCAGAGCAAAUCUCGGCCCCUUAAGAGGCCUGGUGGUUUCAACAUUCCUUCGGAAAGCCCAUCAUUGGGUUAUAAGGAAGCUUAUGCUACUACUGAAUAUGAGUUGCCAUGUGGACAAUGAGAGCCUGCGUGGAGGAGCCUCAAGGAACCAGAUGUAGGAGCAUGUAUUCCUGGGCCUUCCAGAGCAGCCCGACCACCUGCUGAAAGCCGUGAGUGAACACAGCUGAUACCUCGUGGAGCUGAAGAACUGCCCAGUUGUGCCUUACUUGGCUUCUUGACCCAGAGAAUUAGGAGUAAUAACAAAUCAUUAUUUUCCAUCUUGAAGUUUUGAAUUAGUUUGUUACAUGGCAAUAGCUAACUGACACAUUCUUCCCUAGAAAGAAGAUCCUAGAUACACGUCUGUCUCCAUCUCAUAUUGAACAUCAGUGAGCUUUUAUAGCUUAUUUCACUUAAACCUCACCAAAAUACCAAUGAAGUAAUCAGCAUUUAUGUCCACUGUCCAGAUGAGAAUAAAGGAGACUCAGGGUAAAUGAGAUUUGUGCA
rnacentral:lncRNA from 12 species